GGAUCCAGACUUUGAUUCUGGCUCAGGAUGAACGCUGGCGGCGUGCCUAACACAUGCAAGUCGAACGAAGCACUGAGACUUCGGUUUUUGUGCUUAGUGGCGGACGGGUGAGUAACGCGUGAGCAAUCUGCCUUUCAGAGGGGGAUAACGAUUGGAAACGAUCGCUAAUACCGCAUAACGUAUUCGGACGGCAUCUUCUGAAUACCAAAGGAGCAAUCCGCUGAAAGAUGAGCUCGCGUCUGAUUAGAUAGUUGGUGAGGUAACGGCCCACCAAGUCGACGAUCAGUAGCCGGACUGAGAGGUUGAACGGCCACAUUGGGACUGAGACACGGCCCAGACUCCACGGGAGGCAGCAGUGGGGAAUAUUGCGCAAUGGGGGAAACCCUGACGCAGCAACGCCGCGUGAUUGAAGAAGGUCUUCGGAUUGUAAAAAUCUUUUAUCAAGGACGAAGAAGUGACGGUACUUGAUGAAUAAGCUCCGGCUAACUACGUGCCAGCAGCCGCGGUAAUACGUAGGGAGCAAGCGUUAUCCGGAUUUACUGGGUGUAAAGGGCGAGUAGGCGGAUUGGCAAGUUGGGAGUGAAAUGUCGGGGCUUAACCCCGGAACUGCUUCCAAAACUGUUGAUCUUGAGUGAUGGAGAGGCAGGCGGAAUUCCCAGUGUAGCGGUGAAAUGCGUAGAUAUUGGGAGGAACACCAGUGGCGAAGGCGGCCUGCUGGACAUUAACUGACGCUGAGGAGCGAAAGCGUGGGGAGCAGACAGGAUUAGAUACCCUGGUAGUCCACGCCGUAAACGAUGGAUACUAGGUGUGGGAGGUAUUGACCCCUUCCGUGCCGCAGUUAACACAUUAAGUAUCCCACCUGGGGAGUACGACCGCAAGGUUGCAACUCAAAUGAAUUGACGG
rnacentral:rRNA from 1 species